rnacentral:rRNA from 1 species
GAAUACCGGUGGCGAAGGCGGCCCCCUGGACGAAGACUGACGCUCAGGUGCGAAAGCGUGGGGAGCAAACAGGAUUAGAUACCCUGGUAGUCCACGCCGUAAACGAUGUCGACUUGGAGGUUGUGCCCUUGAGGCGUGGCUUCCGGAGCUAACGCGUUAAGUCGACCGCCUGGGGAGUACGGCCGCAAGGUUAAAACUCAAAUGAAUUGACGGGGGCCCGCACAAGCGGUGGAGCAUGUGGUUUAAUUCGAUGCAACGCGAAGAACCUUACCUGGUCUUGACAUCCACGGAAGUUUUCAGAGAUGAGAAUGUGCCUUCGGGAACCGUGAGACAGGUGCUGCAUGGCUGUCGUCAGCUCGUGUUGUGAAAUGUUGGGUUAAGUCCCGCAACGAGCGCAACCCUUAUCCUUUGUUGCCAGCGGUCCGGCCGGGAACUCAAAGGAGACUGCCAGUGAUAAACUGGAGGAAGGUGGGGAUGACGUCAAGUCAUCAUGGCCCUUACGACCAGGGCUACACACGUGCUACAAUGGCGCAUACAAAGAGAAGCGAUCUCGCGAGAGCAAGCGGACCUCAUAAAGUGCGUCGUAGUCCGGAUUGGAGUCUGCAACUCGACUCCAUGAAGUCGGAAUCGCUAGUAAUCGUGGAUCAGAAUGCCACGGUGAAUACGUUCCCGGGCCUUGUACACACCGCCCGUCACACCAUGGGAGUGGGUUGCAAAAGAAGUAGGUAGCUUAACCUUCGGGAGGGCGCUUACCACUUUGUGAUUCAUGACUGGGGUGAAGUCGUAACAAGGUAACCGUAGGGGAACCUGCGGUUGGAUCACCU